CAGCCGCCGCGGUAAUACGGAGGGUGCAAGCGUUAUCCGGAUUUAUUGGGUUUAAAGGGUCCGUAGGCGGACUUAUAAGUCAGUGGUGAAAGCCUGUCGCUUAACGAUAGAACUGCCAUUGAUACUGUAAGUCUUGAGUAUAUUUGAGGUAGCUGGAAUAAGUAGUGUAGCGGUGAAAUGCAUAGAUAUUACUUAGAACACCAAUUGCGAAGGCAGGUUACCAAGAUAUAACUGACGCUGAGGGACGAAAGCGUGGGUAGCGAACAGGAUUAGAUACCCCCGUAGUCCCUGUCUCUUAUAC
rnacentral:rRNA from 1 species